CCCGUGGGCCUCGGCAGCGCCUGCGGGAGCGCGCCGGGGGGGCUCGGGUGCUGUGGUGGCGGGGAGGCGCGGGAAGGGAAGAUGGCGACACGUGUGUUGAAAGCUGCCUCUAACCGGCCUGGCGCUUUUUGUGCUGCGAUUGCAUACCUCGCUCCCGGUUCUAAGUGCCGCCUCGCCGCGCUGCCUGCCCGGGCGGUGUCCCAGGACGCGUGCCUUGCGCCCUGCCUUUCCUAUGUGAGCCUGAACGAGUAGCCCGGGCCUCCCCAGCUGCGACGUACCCUGGGGGCUGUCGGGGCGCAGUCGAAAGCGGGCGGAGGGUCUGUCUCACAUUUAGCGUGAGCAGUUUCGGUUCCGUGAAGCAGGUAGGCGCGUGUUUGCCUAGGCACAGGACUGUCGUGGGCCAAGCGCCUUCCACCGGUCUGCCUUUGCUUUGGGAGCCUGCCUUUCCAUCCAUUGCCUUCAGGGCGGAGGGAGUGAAGGAGUAGCAAAGCAAAAUAUAUGGUUACUCCAGUACGCCCUGUAUGUAUGAAGGAUUUUGUCAAGUGUUACCUACUUCUUUAUGUCAAGAGAAGGUCAGAAAUGUCUUUCAGCCCAGCUGUUCUCAGUAGCUCCAGAGCGCGCUGUGUUGCUGCAAGUUUCUGAGAGGGAAAGGUUUGUGACCCAGCUGGCACUUGUCCACCCCAUUCUUAGGUUACUUGACAUCCAUCUCAUUUUAAAAUAUGCUGAGGAAUAAUGUAAUUGCCCACCAGGAAGCAAGGAUUACAUUUUAAGGGCUGCUGUUAUGUAUCUGUCAGACAUUAAUAUUCAUUACUGCUAGAUGUUUUUUAGUACCAAGGCAGUCCUUGAGCUGCGGAACCCCAGAGUGAUUUACAUAGGCAUCAGUUAUGCAAUCUCUUUCUGAGGGCGCUGAAGUACAAUGAAAAAAAGUAUUCGGUUGGAGUUCUGUGCUGGUUUAAAAUGCACUACUGAAAUGGCUAACAGAACAAACUCCUCUGAGUAUUUUUGGUCGUAUGAAUAUUAUUGGGAUUAUAUAGAUCCAAUUCCAGUAGAUGGAAGCAAGUUGAAGGUUAAUAAAUUGCAAGAAACUGUCUUUCUAAUAGUGAAGAUUGAACUGGACAAUGCUAGGAGCUUCGUGUCCUUCGCUUGCCUUGUGAGAGCAGGAAUAAGAAAAGGGAGCAGAAACUCUUAUUCUGCGCUGCCUCUAGAAAAGCUUUUCUGUCCACUCUGAUGAGCCUAGGGCUUAUUGCCUCCAAACUUAGAGCAUCAUGCCUUAAAGAAGAUUCUAUUGUCAUAGCCUUUUGGGUUGGACUUGCUGCGUUUGUGAUGUUUCUUUUCCUUAUUUUACUGUAUAUGUCCCGCUCUGGAUCAACUCCAGUAAAAUCACUGAUGAAAAUGCUGAACAGGAUCGGGUGCUUAUGGAGCCCUGCUGGAAACAGACACAGUCAGAGAUCUUUCUCCAGUUACUUUUUCAGAAGCCUAACUCACAUAACACCUGUUUAAUGGGACUUGUGUAUAGUUCUUUUUAAAGAAGGCAGUAUGGAAAACUAAGUCAAAUGCCUUAUUGCAGUUUAAAUAGCUACAUAUACGCAGCUACCUUUAUCCUCAAAUUGUGUUCCCCUCAAAAAACAACAUCAGACACUUUUCACCAUACCUGUCUUUCUAUAAAGCCAUACUGUCUGGAAUUAGUUUCUCUGUCCUUUGAAAUACUUUUUCACUUGUAUCUUAUCUUAGCUUUAAUUCCAUGAUUUUGCCUGGGGCUGAGGUCAGUUGCACUGCCUUAUAGUGUCCUGGCUUGACCAGUUCGCUCUCUUUGAGUACUGGGACAUUAUGGCUCUUCCAGCUGCCUCAAACUUCCCUGCUGUUACAGGGAUGGUUAACGAUUAACAAGAGCCAGCCAGAGUUCUCCUCAGACAGUCUCCAGGUCUCUGGGAUGCAAGUUCUCCAGCUGAUUUUAAAAUACGGAUAGCUAGCUGAUGGUAUUUAGCUACUUAAUGGACUGGAAAGAAAACAUCCUGUUUUGACAAGUGAUUGUAGGGAACCAGAUAGAAGAAAGCAGUUCCAACGGUAAACAGCCUCACUGUGAUGAUCUCAGUAGUCCAUACUCAGAUGUGGUUGCUUCUCAAACACCUACCUCCCUUUCAGAUGAAACUGGCAUUCAUGAAAGGAUUUGAGCCUGGGUUAAAACUGGAACAGGUUAAACAAAACCAGCAGUACAGUUCUCCUGACUGCAGAGAAAAGCUCAGUGCUGUGACUGCCUAUUAAACACUGAUACCAAAACCCUUCAGGAGAAGAAGAAAAAGAAAAAUGUCUUUCAACAAAGGACAAACCUGAAAAAUCCUGGAUGCAUAAGAGGAAGUCUUAAUGGCCAUAUUUGAGCAACGGUGCUGGAGUUGCCUGAUCAACAUUUUAGAUCAACAUUUUGGAUCCUGAUGAUGAUGACUGUAAAAUUUCUCUCUUCUUUAAGUAAGGAUUCAGAUUCGAACUUCUCUCCCAGUUACAUGGUGCAAAGGGUGUGCUGCUGGUUGAGUGGUUCUCAUUAAGACCCAUUUGGUGGAGAGCAGAUUUACUCCUCCAGCAGAAAGUCUAUACCAGUUUCACCCCAAGUCCUGUAAAGAGUUCUGCCUUGGUCACCUGAAUGCCCACUGAGUCCUGUUAUCCUUGGGGGUGUCUCUGCAGCAUCACUUUUCACUGGGUUGUCUUGCUGUGAAAGAAAGCAGAAUCCCGUUGAUCUUACUGAACAGGCAGCAUAACCAAUAUUGUUUAUAUAUCAUGAGAGCCAUAAGUCAUCUGCUUCUGUCUCUGUCCUCAGGUCACACUCAUCAGCUGCAUCUUAGUAACACCUCCAUUCGGACAUCCUCUGAAAAAUGAGCAACAAUGUCAAGUGCAACAUCAACAAUAAAACUUGGAUUUUA